rnacentral:rRNA from 1 species
CGGGGAGGGCGAGUGUUUUUUAUCUUGACUGGGUGUAAAACGUAUGUAGAUGGUUAAAAAAGUUUUAACGCAAAUUAAUUUAAUUAAUAGAUUAAAUUAUCGUUACUAAUACUUUUUAACUAGAGUUAAAAGGGAGAUCAUAGAAUUUUAAGUGUAGGAGUGAAAUCCGUUGAAAUUUAAAGAGCUAUCAGGGGCGAAAGCAAUGGUUUACUUUUAACUGACAUUGAGAUACAAAAGCGUGGGGAGCAAACGGGA